GGUUAAACCUGUUUGCUCUGGUUUUAGAGCAGUUACUUAUGUAAGAGCUGCAUACUACUCACCCCUGUUGCCCAGACGUAUUAGGGACAGCAUUUUGCAGAUGAGGUAAGAGGAAAGAAACCUCAAGGGGGUACUUUGCUGUUCUGUGUCCCUUAACUGAGAUUACUCUUGGAAGAUGCUAAAAGCCCUUAAGGGAUGGGGAGUGCAGGGCACACGUGAUGUGAAGGGGAAGAGGGAAGAGGUGUUCAAGUGGAGAUUAAUAAGAAUGUAAUAAUAUAAUAUUGUAAUGUAAAUGUAUGUAAUAAUGCAAUAUUACAGGAAUCUAAUAAAAGGGGGCUGGGGAUGGAUGCAAACAUAUUUUUAUAAGCAUAUCAAAGUUUAAUUGGAUCUAAACCACACAGGUGAUUAUUCUCUUUCCAGAAGCCACAAGUCACUAAAUAAAAAUCCCAGUAUCAGAUUUGAGGUAUCUUCUCUCAAGUUGUUGGUCGGAUGUCUCCUGGAGUUCCCCAAAACAACGCAGACUCUUGCCAUGUUCCUGGUUGCCCACCAGAGCUUGGUGGUAAGACACUAUUGCUGAAGGCACCCCACAUGGUAGUCACAAGACAUGGAGACAUUAAAUUGGUGCCGACCAGGAAGUCUCCUCCCUGAUAACAAACUUCCAUGGUAUCAGAAGGUGCUAUGUAGGCUGCUUUGGUGGGGGCCAUUAAUAGUCUUACCCAGCUACCAAAUCUGUGAAUUAUAAUAACAAGUGGUGUGGGAAGAUAUGCCCAGGAGUGCAACAGGGUCUGAAUGUUAUAAGGUAACCACUUUCCCACUGUACUUAAGGCUCACUCUACAGGAGGAAACAUGUCCGGUACUGCAAAACUGUCUAAGAACCUGUGGCUGGGGGAAUUCACGGGACCCAGGGGUGAACCUACUACUACCGGGUCUCCUAAAUGGACACAGUAUCAAAAUGCUUUCUACAUUUGUAUCUGUUUCUAUCCACAGACCAGUGCAGCUCUCAGACCUCUUCAGAGACGAUUCCCACCUAUUUCCCCUCUCAGCCCUGUCGAUGGUGAUUAACACAGGCACUCACACCUAAGUGGUCUGCACUUCCUCGCAUCAUCGCGGGCUUAGGGUUCUUGGGUGCCAUGGUUUCUAUCUGAAAGGUCUAAGUGCAGAGAAUAAUUUCCAGUACUCAGCCUUAAAUGGGACAUCUAAGUCACACCCUGUUUCCCCCCAAGCUCGGGGAUCCUUGUAGAGAUGAGAGCAGAAAGACUGCUGGAGCUAAGGUGGUACCAGCACUUGGACCCAGAUCCAGAAGCCAAGAGACAGGAACUGUGUUUGCUACAUUUUAGUUUUACUUUUUCCCUGAAUUUUCCUUGAUAUCCACCCAUUCCCUUUUCUAGCACAGAAUAUUUACUUUGUGCGCAGCCCUUGGAUGUCGGUAACUCUUUUUAAAAGUUCUCUUACAUGGGUUGACAAUUAGGACAUUACCUUGUGUCUCAGGAAGAGGCUUUGGACUUCUGAACAGCGCAGGGGUGCUUCAGACUACUCCUCAGAUCCAAACGAAUGCACUGUGAGAUGAUCGUUAGCGCGAGGGCCAGAGCGAUGGCUUGAAUUUAGAAUGUCUCCACAGGCUCCUGCGUUUAAACACUUGGCCUCCAGCUGGUAACACUAUUUUGGGACUUUGUGGAAACUUUGGGACUUUGGCUUAGCAAGCAGAAGUAAGUUGCUGGGGGAGGGAGGGUGGCCCUUGAAUGCCACACCCGCUUAGGUGUUAGCCCAAGCUUUCCCUUUCCUAAGCUAAGAUGUGAACAAACUAUACAGUCAACUCCUGCUGACACAAUGGACUCCAUUUCUUGAACCAGGAGACAAAUAAACCCUUCCUCUA
rnacentral:lncRNA from 1 species